AGUGAACGCUGGCGGUAGGCCUAACACAUGCAAGUCGAACGGCAGCACAGUAAGAGCUUGCUCUUACGGGUGGCGAGUGGCGGACGGGUGAGGCAUACAUCGGAAUCUACUUUUUCGUGGGGGAUAACGUAGGGAAACUUACGCUAAUACCGCAUACGACCUACGGGUGAAAGCAGGGGAUCUUCGGACCUUGCGCGAUUGAAUGAGCCGAUGUCGGAUUAGCUAGUUGGCGGGGUAAAGGCCCACCAAGGCGACGAUCCGUAGCUGGUCUGAGAGGAUGAUCAGCCACACUGGAACUGAGACACGGUCCAGACUCCUACGGGAGGCAGCAGUGGGGAAUAUUGGACAAUGGGCGCAAGCCUGAUCCAGCAAUACCGCGUGGGUGAAGAAGGCCUUCGGGUUGUAAAGCCCUUUUGUUGGGAAAGAAAAGCAGCAGGUUAAUACCCCGCUGUUCUGACGGUACCCAAAGAAUAAGCACCGGCUAACUUCGUG
rnacentral:rRNA from 1 species